rnacentral:rRNA from 1 species
CGAGCGUUGUCCGGAAUUACUGGGUGUAAAGGGCCCGUAGGCGGUUAUUUAAGUCAGCUGUGAAAGUCCAGGGCUUAACCCUGGAAUUGCAAUUGAAACUGAAUAACUUGAGAUAAGGAGAGGAGAGCGGAAUUCCUAGUGUAGCGGUGAAAUGCGUAGAUAUUAGGAAGAACACCAGUGGCGAAGGCGGCUCUCUGGCCUUACCCUGACGCUGAGGGGCGAAAGCGUGGGUAGCGAACAGGAUUAGAUACCCUGGUAGUCCACGCCGUAAACGAUGAGUGCUAGGUGUUGGGUGUCAAAGCUCAGUGCCGGAGUUAACACAAUAAGCACUCCACCUGGGGAGUACGACCGCAAGGUUGAAACUCAAAGGAAUUGACGGGGGCCCGCACAAGCAGCGGAGCAUGUGGUUUAAUUCGAAGCAACGCGAAGAACCUUACCAGGACUUGACAUCGUCUGCUAGUUCAAGAGAUUGGACCUUCCCUUCGGGGACAGAUAGACAGGUGGUGCAUGGUUGUCGUCAGCUCGUGUCGUGAGAUGUUGGGUUAAGUCCCGCAACGAGCGCAACCCCUGUAUUUAGUUGCCAUCAGGUAGAGCUGGGCACUCUAGAUAGACUGCCGUAGAGAAUACGGAGGAAGGUGGGGAUGACGUCAAAUCAUCAUGCCCCUUAUGUCCUGGGCUACACACGUGCUACAAUGGUCUGUACAACGGGAAGCGAAGGAGUGAUCUGGAGCCAAUCCCAAAAAACAGAUCCCAGUUCGGAUUGCAGGCUGCAACUCGCCUGCAUGAAGUCGGAGUUGCUAGUAAUCGCGGAUCAGCAUGCCGCGGUGAAUGCGUUCCCGGGCCUUGUACACACCGCCCGUCACACCACGAGAGUUGGCAACACCCGAAGUCAGUGAGUUAACCAUAAAGGAGACAGCUGCCGAAGGUGGGGCUAGCGAUUGGGGUGAAGUCGUAACAAGGUAACCGUA